rnacentral:rRNA from 1 species
AGUGAACGCUGGCGGCAGGCCUAACACAUGCAAGUCGAACGGCAGCACAAGAGAGCUUGCUCUCUGGGUGGCGAGUGUCGUGCGGGUGAGGCAUGCAUCGGAAUCUGCCCAUUUUUGUGGGUUAACCUCUGGAAACCGUGACUAAUACCGCAUACGACCUACGGGUGAAAGCUUGGGAUCUUCUUACCUUUCGCAUAUCGAUUAGCCGAUGCCGGAUUUGCUAGUUGGAGGGGUAAAGUCCCACCAAGGCUACGAUCCGUAGCUGGUCUGAGAGGAUGAUCAGCAACACUGGGAGUGAGACACGGCCAAGAGUACUACGGGAGGGAGCAGUGGGGAAUAUUGGACAAUGGGCGCAAGCAUGAUCCAGCAAUGCCGAGUGUGUGAAGAAGGCAUUAGGGUUGUAAAGCACGUUUGUUGGGAAAGAAAAGAAGCCGGUUAAUACCAGGUUGUAAUGACGGUAACCAAAGAAUAAGCACCGGCUAACUUCGUG